rnacentral:misc_RNA from 1 species
GAGCUACAGAGGUUUAAGCAAAAGCAAAAAUGGGGAAGAAACGAGAACGCCUCACAAAUCCAGAACCCUUCCUUGACGAUGAUUCAAAAUCCAAAGCUUCCUCGAAGAAACGCUCCAAAGCUCCUAAAUCUCACCAGCAGCAACAACAGGUUAUAUCGUCUAGUAUUAGUUCGAAGAUAUUGAAGGAGGCGUUACUUCAGCAGAAGGAAGUAGAUGAGGAGGAGACACGAGAGAGAAAUCCUAAUGCUAUAGUGUUUUCGGAGGAUGUUGCAACUAGAGCUGUUGAGGAGGAUGACGAUGACAUUGAUAAUUUUAGUGGGUUUCAGGAGACUCAAAGUCAAUUUGGUGAUUUGGAGGAUGAGGUUGACAAGUUGCUAUUGGAGGAUGAGAAGCUAUUGGAGGCUUUUUAUUCUACACAAAAUCGCCCUGAACGCACAUUGGGCCAAAUCCUUAUUGAAAAGAGCAAGGAACAGAACGCACAAGUUUCUUCAGUGCAACCAAUGCCUAAAUUGGAUGAAUCGAUCAUUGAAUUAUACAAAGGUGUUGGCAAGCAUCUUAGCAAAUACAAUUCAGGCAAGAUGCCAAAAGCGUUCAAACAUAUUCCUUCAUUGCAAUAUUGGGAAGAUGUUCUAUAUUUAACAGAACCUGAGAAAUGGUCACCAAAUGCAAUGUACCAAGCCACAAGAAUAUUUGCUUCAAAUUUGGGUGUCAAGAAGGCAGAACGCUUCUACAAGUUGGUCUUACUCCCACGAGUUAGAGAUGAUAUUCGCAAGAAUAAGAGAUUGCAUUUUGCUCUGUAUCAGUCCUUGAAGAAAUCUCUUUAUAAGCCUGCUGCCUUUAAUAAGGGAAUCUUGUUUCCUUUGUGUGAGUCAAGGACAUGCACCUUGAGGGAGGCUGUGAUCUUUGGGAGUGUUAUUGAGAAGGUCUCCAUUCCGCAUCUUCAUGCUAGUGUAGCGCUGCUGAAACUUGCAGAGAUGGAGUAUUGUGGCACAACA